CCUACGGGAGGCAGCAGUAGGGAAUCUUUCACAAUGGGCGAAAGCCUGAUGGAGCAACGCCGCGUGCAGGAUGAAGGCCUUCGGGUUGUAAACUGCUUUUAUAAGCGAGAAAUAUGAUGGUAACUUAUGAAUAAGGAUCGGCUAACUACGUGCCAGCAGCCGCGGUCAUACGUAGGAUCCGAGCAUUAUCCGGAGUGACUGGGUGUAAAGAGUUGCGUAGGUGGCCUAAUAAGUAGCUAGUGAAAUCUGGUGGCUCAACCAUUCAGACUAUUAGCUAAACUGUUAAGCUCGAGACCGUUAGGGGUAACUGGAAUUUCUAGUGUAGGAGUGAAAUCCGUAGAUAUUAGAAGGAACACCAAUAGCGUAGGCAGGUUGCUGGGACGGUUCUGACACUAAGGCACGAAAGCGUAGGGAGCAAACGGGAUUAGAUACCCCUGUAGUC
rnacentral:rRNA from 1 species